rnacentral:lncRNA from 1 species
UUAAAGGAGAAAUCUUAGUCAUGGAUCAUGCAGUGUCAUACUGUCAUUUUAAAGACAUCAAAUUCACUCCUAAAGAAGUGGACUUCUUCACGUGGUGGCCUGGUGGGAGUGUGGGACUGAACCCGAAGUAUUUAAUUAUUUAUAUGAAUAGUAAACACAAACCACAUACAUUUGUAGCAGGCACUACAUACCUCAGACUCUGCUUUUGUGAUUCACUUAGAACCAUCCAAAGAGGAGUCCUUGGAAGUAGUGAUAGCGCCCUGUUAUAAAAGAAUGAGUAUUCAGCAUAUUGUAGGGUUUGAUUUGACUUCAAAUCUUCAAUGUAUUCCCUUUGAAUACUGGGGGAAAAUGAAAAUCAAUGGAAGCAAAAGGAUAUAAAUUAGAAACUGCCAUUUCCAUACAUUUCUCCUCUUGGCAUCCCACAUCAAUAAGUUGCAUGUGGCAGUGGCAUACAGAGAACUGAAUAGACUCUACCAACUUAAGGAGCUAGUUCAGACAACACCCAAUAGGUAGCCACACCCGGCUGCAAGAGACCUGGACAGAGUCCCUCCCUAAAAAAUAUCACAUCAUCAUUCUCCAGCUCAAGAAAAAAUAAACAAAGGGACACUACAAUUCAGUACUAUAAGGGGAUAACAAAGGGAGACAAAAGCGAUCAUAAAUCACAUAUAUGCAGAGGUUCUAUCAGUUGACGAUGAUAGUGCAUUUUUUUUUUUAUUUAAAUGUGUGCUUUCUAGAUCUCUGGUGAAUCUAUUUUGAUUGGAUACCAAUAGGGCUACCUUAUCAAUUAAUAAUCUGAUGGGGAGAUUACAUCGUCAAUCU